rnacentral:lncRNA from 1 species
CCGAGGUUCCUGUCCUUGGAGUUUCCGGGGUUCCCAUCUCCAGAGCACUACCAACAGGGUUGACGUGGUGUUCCUGCGGGUGCAUACUCCUGGCCGGCGAGGGUGGAGCACCUUCUUGUUGUUCGGAGGGCAUCCAAGCAGCGGAGCCAUCGGCAAAGUGAGUCGGCCUCCUAUUACGCCCACGUCCACUCCCUCGUGCCAUAUCAACCUACACAAGUUACUUUUAACAUUUUAA